rnacentral:rRNA from 1 species
UACGUAGGGGGCAAGCGUUGUCCGGAAUCAUUGGGCGUAAAGAGCGUGUAGGCGGUCCGGUAAGUCGGCUGUGAAAGUCCAGGGCUCAACCUUGGGAUGCCGGUCGAUACUGCGGGGCUAGAGUGCGGAAGGGGCAACUGGAAUUCUCGGUGUAGCGGUGGAAUGCGCAGAUAUCGGGAGGAACACCCGUGGCGAAGGCGGGUCUCUGGGACGGUACUGACGCUGAGACGCGAAAGCGUGGGGAGCGAACAGG